UACGUAGGGUGCAGGCGUUAAUCGGAAUUACUGGGCGUAAAGCGUGCGCAGGCGGUUUGCUAGGACAGGUGUGAAAUCCCCGGGCUUAACCUGGGAACUGCGCUUGUAACUGGCAAGCUGGAGUGUGGCAGAGGGGGGUGGAAUUCCACGUGUAGCAGUGAAAUGCGUAGAGAUGUGGAGGAACACCGAUGGCGAAGGCAGCCCCCUGGGCUAACACUGACGCUCAUGCACGAAAGCGUGGGGAGCAAACAGG
rnacentral:rRNA from 1 species